rnacentral:ncRNA from 1 species
UGAUAGCAAAGAAACGGAGAUUGCUGCGAAUGAGCAGGUAACUUCGUGGAGCGAAUGUCAAGUUCAAAGAAACUGGCGACAA